ACGAACGCUGGCGGCAUGCCUAACACAUGCCAGUCGCACGCGACCUUCGGGUCUAGUGGCGCACGGGUGCGUAACGCGUGGGAACCUGCCCUUAGGUUCGGAAUAACUCCCCGAAAGGGGUGCUAAUACCGGAUAAUGUCUUCGGACCAAAGAUUUAUCGCCUUUGGAUGGGCCCGCGUUGGAUUAGCUAGUUGGUAGGGUAAAAGCCUACCAAGGCGACGAUCCAUAGCUGGUCUGAGAGGAUGAUCAGCCACACUGGGACUGAGACACGGCCCAGACUCCUACGGGAGGCAGCAGUGGGGAAUAUUGGACAAUGGGCGAAAGCCUGAUCCAGCAAUGCCGCGUGAGUGAUGAAGGCCUUAGGGUUGUAAAGCUCUUUUACCCGGGAUGAUAAUGACAGUACCGGGAGAAUAAGCUCCGGCUAACUCCGUG
rnacentral:rRNA from 1 species